GGAUUCCCCUAGUAACGGCGAGUGAAGAGGGAAGAGCUCAAAUUUGAAAGCUGGUACCUUCGGUAUCCGCGUUGUAACCUCGAGACACGUUUUCCGUGCGGCGCUAUGGACAAGUUCCUUGGAACAGGACAUCGUAGAGGGUGAAAAUCCCGUACUUGCCAUGGAUGUACCGUGCUUUGCGAUACGUGCUCUAAGAGUCGAGUUGUUUGGGAUUGCAGCUCAAAAUGGGUGGUAGACUCCAUCUAAAGCUAAAUAUCGGGGAGAGACCGAUAGCGAACAAGUACCGUGAGGGAAAGAUGAAAAGCACUUUGGAAAGAGAGUUAAAAGUACGUGAAAUUGUCGAAAGGGAAGCGCUUGAAGUCAGCCAUGCCGCUCAGGACUCAGCCUGGCUUUUGCUUGGUGUAUUUCCUGGGUAGCAAGUCAGCAUUGGUUUGGAUCGUCGGAGAAGCAUAGUCGGAAUGUGGCGCCCUCGGGCGUGUUAUAGCCUUCUAUUGGAUACGACGAUCUA
rnacentral:rRNA from 1 species